GCUGGGUGUGGUGGUGGGCGCCUGUAAUCCCAGCUACUCAGGAGGCUGAGGCAGGAGAAUCACUUGAACCCGGGAGGCAGAGGUUGCAGUGAGCUGAGGUCGUGCCACUGCACUCUAGCCUGGGUGACAGAGCGAGACCCUGUCUCAA
rnacentral:SRP_RNA from 1 species